UAAUCACUUGUCUCUUAAAUGGGGACCUGUAUGAAUGGCUUUUCACUCUUUCACUGUCUCUCUUCCCUCCCUCCUAAUCUUCUAAUCACGUGAAGAAGCGUGAACAAAUAAGAAAGACGAGAAGACCCUGUCGAGCUUAAGCUAACCCUGAAAUGUCGUCUACCUUUUUUCUUAGAAAGAUGUAAAUUUCAGAUAAAGUUUUGGUUGGGGCAACCGUGGAGAAAAAGAAUCCUCCAGUUAGUUAGGAAGAAAACCUUUCACCUAAAAAAUUUAGCGACCCAGUUACUCUGGUAAACGGAAAAAGUUACCGCAGGGAUAACAGCGUUAUCUUCUCUAAGAGCCCAUAUUGACGAGAAGGAUUGCGACCUCGAUGUUGGAUUGGGGUAACC
rnacentral:rRNA from 1 species